rnacentral:rRNA from 1 species
GUAAUCUGCCCUGCACUCUGGGAUAAGCCUUGGAAACGAGGUCUAAUACCGGAUAGGACACAUGGCCGCAUGGUCUGUGUGUGGAAAGUUCCGGCGGUGCAGGUUGAGCCCGCGGCCUAUCAGCUUGUUGGUGGGGUGAUGGCCUACCAAGGCGACGACGGGUAGCCGGCCUGAGAGGGUGACCGGCCACACUGGGACUGAGACACGGCCCAGACUCCUACGGGAGGCAGCAGUGGGGAAUCUUGCGCAAUGGGCGAAAGCCUGACGCAGCAACGCCGCGUGGGGGAUGACGGCCUUCGGGUUGUAAACCUCUUUCGACAUCGACGAAGCCUUCGGGUGACGGUAGGUGUAGAAGAAGCACCGGCUAACUACGUGCCAGCAGCCGCGGUAAUACGUAGGGUGCGAGCGUUGUCCGGAAUUAUUGGGCGUAAAGAGCUCGUAGGCGGUUUGUCGCGUCGGCCGUGAAAACCUGCCGCUUAACGGUGGGCGUGCGGUCGAUACGGGCAGACUUGAGUUCGGUAGGGGAGACUGGAAUUCCUGGUGUAGCGGUGAAAUGCGCAGAUAUCAGGAGGAACACCGGUGGCGAAGGCGGGUCUCUGGGCCGAUACUGACGCUGAGGAGCGAAAGCGUGGGGAGCGAACAGGAUUAGAUACCCUGGUAGUCCACGCCGUAAACGGUGGGCGCUAGGUGUGGGGACUGUUUCCACGGUU